rnacentral:misc_RNA from 1 species
UAUCAAUUAGUAUUAUAGGCCAGUCUGCAGGCAAGCU